UACGUAGGGGGCUAGCGUUGUCCGAAGUUACUGGGCGUAAAGCGCGCGUAGGCGGGUUGGUAAGUCCGCUGUGAAAGCCCGGAGCUCAACUCCGGAGGGUCGGUGGAUACUGCCAGUCUUGAAGGUGCUAGGGGGAGAUGGAAUUACCGGUGUAGCGGUGAAAUGCGUAGAUAUCGGUAGGAACACCAGUGGCGAAGGCGGUCUCCUGGGGCAUUCUUGACGCUGAGGCGCAAAAGCUGGGGGAGCGAACGGG
rnacentral:rRNA from 1 species